AAGGGCGCACGGUGGAUGCCUUGACACUAGGAGUCGAUGAAGGACGGGACUAACGCCGAUAUGCUUCGGGGAGCUGUAAGUAAGCUUUGAUCCGAAGAUUUCCGAAUGGGGAAACCCACCAUACGUAAUGGUAUGGUAUCCUUAUCUGAAUACAUAGGGUAAGGAAGACAGACCCAGGGAACUGAAACAUCUAAGUACCUGGAGGAAGAGAAAGCAAAUGCGAUUUCCUGAGUAGCGGCGAGCGAAACGGAACAUAGCCCAAACCAAGAGGCUUGCCUCUUGGGGUUGUAGGACAUUCUAUACGGAGUUACAAAGGAACGAGGUAGACGAAGCGACCUGGAAAGGUCCGUCGUAGAGGGUAACAACCCCGUAGUCGAAACUUCGUUCUCUCUUGAAUGUAUCCUGAGUACGGCGGAACACGUGAAAUUCCGUCGGAAUCUGGGAGGACCAUCUCCCAAGGCUAAAUACUCCCUAGUGAUCGAUAGUGAACCAGUACCGUGAGGGAAAGGUGAAAAGCACCCCGGAAGGGGAGUGAAAGAGAUCCUGAAACCGUGUGCCUACAAAUAGUCAGAGCCCGUUAACGGGUGAUGGCGUGCCUUUUGUAGAAUGAACCGGCGAGUUACGAUCCCGUGCGAGGUUAAGCUGAAGAGGCGGAGCCGCAGCGAAAGCGAGUCUGAAUAGGGCGUUUAGUACGUGGUCGUAGACCCGAAACCAGGUGAUCUACCCAUGUCCAGGGUGAAGUUCAGGUAACACUGAAUGGAGGCCCGAACCCACGCACGUUGAAAAGUGCGGGGAUGAGGUGUGGGUAGCGGAGAAAUUCCAAUCGAACCUGGAGAUAGCUGGUUCUCCCCGAAAUAGCUUUAGGGCUAGCCUUAAGUGUAAGAGUCUUGGAGGUAGAGCACUGAUUGGACUAGGGGUCCUCAUCGGAUUACCGAAUUCAGUCAAACUCCGAAUGCCAAUGACUUAUCCUUAGGAGUCAGACUGCGAGUGAUAAGAUCCGUAGUCAAAAGGGAAACAGCCCAGACCGCCAGCUAAGGUCCCAAAGUGUGUAUUAAGUGGAAAAGGAUGUGGAGUUGCUUAGACAACUAGGAUGUUGGCUUAGAAGCAGCCACCAUUUAAAGAGUGCGUAAUAGCUCACUAGUCGAGUGACUCUGCGCCGAAAAUGUACCGGGGCUAAAUACACCACCGAAGCUGCGGAUUGAUACCAAUGGUAUCAGUGGUAGGGGAGCGUUCUAAGGACAGUGAAGUCAGACCGGAAGGACUGGUGGAGUGCUUAGAAGUGAGAAUGCCGGUAUGAGUAGCGAAAGACGGGUGAGAAUCCCGUCCACCGAAUGCCUAAGGUUUCCUGAGGAAGGCUCGUCCGCUCAGGGUUAGUCAGGACCUAAGCCGAGGCCGACAGGCGUAGGCGAUGGACAACAGGUUGAUAUUCCUGUACCACCUCUUUAUCGUUUGAGCAAUGGAGGGACGCAGAAGGAUAGAAGAAGCGUGCGAUUGGUUGUGCACGUCCAAGCAGUUAGGCUGAUA
rnacentral:rRNA from 1 species